rnacentral:rRNA from 1 species
UAAGGGCGCACGGUGGAUGCCUUGGCACUAGAAGCCGAUGAAGGACGUUACUAACGACGAUAUGCUUUGGGGAGCUGUAAGUAAGCUUUGAUCCAGAGAUUUCCGAAUGGGGAAACCCAGCAUGAGUUAUGUCAUGUUAUCGAUAUGUGAAUACAUAGCAUAUCAGAAGGCACACCCGGAGAACUGAAACAUCUUAGUACCCGGAGGAAGAGAAAGAAAAUUCGAUUCCCUUAGUAGCGGCGAGCGAAACGGGAAGAGCCCAAACCAACAAGCUUGCUUGUUGGGGUUGUAGGACACUCUAUACGGAGUUACAAAGGACGACAUUAGACGAAUCAUCUGGAAAGAUGAAUCAAAGAAGGUAAUAAUCCUGUAGUCGAAAAUGUUGUCUCUCUUGAGUGGAUCCUGAGUACGACGGAGCACGUGAAAUUCCGUCGGAAUCUGGGAGGACCAUCUCCUAAGGCUAAAUACUCUCUAGUGACCGAUAGUGAACCAGUACCGUGAGGGAAAGGUGAAAAGCACCCCGGAAGGGGAGUGAAAUAGAACCUGAAACCGUGUGCUUACAAGUAGUCAGAG